UACGUAGGGGGCAAGCGUUAUCCGGAUUUAUUGGGCGUAAAGAGCUCGUAGGCGGCCGUUCGCGUCGGAUGUGAAAGCUCAGGGCUCAACUCUGAGAUGCCAUUCGAUACAGGACGGCUAGAGGUAGGUAGGGGAAAGUGGAAUUCCUGGUGUAGCGGUGAAAUGCGCAGAUAUCAGGAGGAACACCGGUGGCGAAGGCGGCUUUCUGGGCCUUACCUGACGCUGAGGAGCGAAAGCUGGGGGAGCGAACAGG
rnacentral:rRNA from 1 species